AAUAGGAGCACCAGAACCGAGCCGAGGUCCUUCUCUGUCUCCAACUCUCACACUGGUGGGGAGGGUUUCUUUCUUUCCCUUUUUUUUCCAGGGGAACACAUGUCUCCAGCUACUUUUUUGACGCACAGUCCUCAGCCAAUGGGAGCGAGAGGGCCACUGACAGCAUCCCCAUCCCACCGCAGAGAGGGCGCACCGAUGAUAUGGAUGAUGAGAGGGGGAGUUUAAAGCAAGAAAAAGAUUUCGAUCGAUGAAGGCCCUGGAAGGAUCAUAAAAGUGGAUUUUCCUCAUCACCGGGAAGAGUCCUGAUGUCAGCAGAGAGAAGAAAAGUUUGGGAAUCUUUGGAGGAAAAUGAGAUCUGCAGGAGUUUGCCAACAAACAAACGGAUGCAAUUAAACACACGUCUGAUCGUCUGCAAGGAGUCAAGGUCAAGAAGGGCAGCGAGCUGACGAGGAGAGGGAGACACCUGGAUCGUUUUUCUGCAACCAAACACAAUUUCAUCAGUUUUAAUGGACAAACAGUGAAAAAUCAACCAGAAUGAAUGUGUCUGCCGCAUCUCUGUUCACCCUGACAUCAUAGAACCAUUUUUGAUCACAUGGUUGUCAGAUUUGCCUUUGUCAGCAGCCUUCUCCUGUGUGCUGAGGUGUCUGCACGGCAUGGUAAAAGCUGCCCUGCAGACCGGACCUCUCAAGUCUUCAAAGUAGGACGAACUCACUGUGGGGGGAUUUGUUCAGGCUUAUUUGGUAACCUGGGAUUUGAAUUGGAUUCUUGGAAGCAUUCAUAACACAUUUGAAAAUGUUGCUUUGUGUGAUUUUCUGUGUAAUCCCCAUAAUAAAUUUUAGAAAUGGUCA